GACAACAACUUGUGGUGAGUUAUGACCAUUGUAUGAACUUUUACCUGUGAUCUCUUCAUACCUGGAGGAUGCUGCACUGCUUUUAAACUUUUGGCCAUUAUGCCUUAGUUCUAAAUAAACAUGAUUAUCUGUCAUGAAAGAUAUAUCUAUUUCAGAUGUGGACCUUACAUGUGUAGGAACUACUGGAGAAUGCAGGAGCCCUACUGAACUGUUUAAAGCAGGGAACCAAAGGAGGUUUUAAUUUAUCCACGCCUGAUGGAUAUCUCGCAUUCGUCUGCAGUGCAUCACAGCUGUACGAAAGCUGCACUAAGACAGCCUAUGGUUCCUGUCCGAAGAGAACUGCAGAGGUCCUGGUAGAAAUAGACAAGUUAACCAGACCGGCUGGCUGUGACGCUUGUGUCUCCCAGCCGUCUCUCCUCCUGUUGGCCUCAGUGCUGGCUUUCAUGAUGGCUUUGUUCAAGUAGAUACCCAGGCAUUCACCGACACAGUUAUGCUUGUACUGUUAGUUUCAUUUGAACAUAUUUCAAAACAGGGAAAGCGAAAAAUGUUGACAUAACAACAUAGCCACAGACUGAUCGUUUCUUUAAUCUCAUAGAGGUAAGAACUGCGUGCUGCAGUUUGCUGGGCAGUAGAUAGCAUCGGGGUGGGUGGGGUGGGGGUGGGGUUGGGGUUGUGUGUGUCCGUUAUCCUUCCCAUAUCUGUCAAUGUAUCGGAUGCUACCAACUGGGAGUCAUGGUUGUUUGUUUAUUAUAUCAAUAAAGGAAGGGAGAUCAACAUAUGGCAAUGACAUUUUGCACAACCUGUUGGUGAACUCGAAUCUCUCCCCCUGUUUCGAUUUCAGGUGUUCCCGGUGUGUUGUAACGUCUGGUUUGUUGUAUGCAAGGGUACAAUUGAUCAACGAGGAAUGUCAGGGUUAAUGAUUGGUUUAAAGUACAGGUAUGAUCUCAGUUACUUGUCUUUGUCAGUACAUAACGAUAUAUCGUAUCCUUUUGUAGAGGCCAGUGUACUUGUAGGAUGCUGUUUUCACCAUACGUUUGGCCUGGUCCCGACUCCGUUAUGUACUGACCCGAGUGACCAACGUCCUGCAACUGGUAGUACUUGGAUUAGUGUACGCAUGUGUGGAAGUGCGGCAUCUAUAUAAAUAUAUCAUUGUGUGGUACUAUCCAGGAUCCGGGUGUUUCACUGUUUUGAAAUAUGUUCGUCCGCUUUUCUGCAGUAAUUUUAAGUGCUUAGUAGUUAGAAAAUUCUAAGUUUGUAUCCAGUUCCUUUGAUUUUUAAUGUACUCUACAUCUUACACGCUUAGAACUACUUCCAGCAUCUGGAUAUAUAUCCCACGUUCCCAGAUAUCAUGAUCCGUGUUCUGUCGUGAAAGAAGUUAAAGUUUUAAUGUUUUUCAGGUAAUCCAUCAUCUCGAGUACAACUGAUGGUUUAGGAAGCCUUAGUAACUUAGUCAUUAGAGUUUACAGAAGUCAUCUGUUGUCUUCAUCCAUAUUGUGGGAUUCAGAUCGUAAAAACACCCCUGACACUCAACAUAAGUAAUGUAAUGUAUCUAUUGUCUUACAGCAAUUUUGUUUAAUUAUAUUUCAAAACUCUUCACAAUCAUUAAUUCUUGAUGCUGUGUUUCUCAGUUUCGUGUUUUGGGGACACAGGUUUCAAGAUUUGUUUCUGUUACUUCUUCAGCUCAGAUUCAGAUUGUUUCUGCUUAUAAUCAAUCAAAAAAUAAAUUGCUAUUGUUUUAGAAAUU